rnacentral:rRNA from 1 species
CUUAGUGGCGGACGGGUGAGUAACGCGUGGGUAACCUGCCGUAUACAGGGGGAUAACACUUAGAAAUAGGUGCUAAUACCGCAUAAGCGCACGGGGCUGCAUGGCCCAGUGUGAAAAACUCCGGUGGUAUAAGAUGGACCCGCGUCUGAUUAGCUUGUUGGCGGGGUAACGGCCCACCAAGGCGACGAUCAGUAGCCGGCCUGAGAGGGUGGACGGCCACAUUGGGACUGAGACACGGCCCAAACUCCUACGGGAGGCAGCAG